rnacentral:snRNA from 1 species
GCUUACUUUGGCAGCACAUAUUAAAACUGGAAUAAUUUAGAGAUUAGCAUGGUCCUGUGCAAGGAUGGCAUGCAAAGCCAUGAAGUGUUAGAUCCGCCU